rnacentral:tRNA from 1 species
GCUGCGGUCGCAUAGUCUGGUAUUGCGCAGGAUUGCUAAUCCUGUCCUUUUAGGAUCGAGUGUUCAAAUCCCUCCCGCAGCG